rnacentral:rRNA from 1 species
AUUGAACGCUGGCGGCAGGCCUAACACAUGCAAGUCGAGCGGAUGAGUGGAGCUUGCUCCAUGAUUCAGCGGCGGACGGGUGAGUAAUGCCUAGGAAUCUGCCUGGUAGUGGGGGACAACGUUUCGAAAGGAACGCUAAUACCGCAUACGUCCUACGGGAGAAAGCAGGGGACCUUCGGGCCUUGCGCUAUCAGAUGAGCCUAGGUCGGAUUAGCUAGUAGGUGAGGUAAUGGCUCACCUAGGCGACGAUCCGUAACUGGUCUGAGAGGAUGAUCAGUCACACUGGAACUGAGACACGGUCCAGACUCUACGGAGGCAGCAGUGGGAAUAUUGGACAAU